GGAUUAGAUACCCUGGUAGUCCACGCCGUAAACGAUGUCUACUAGUUGUUGGGAGACUUGAUCUCUUAGUAACGAAGCUAACGCGAUAAGUAGACCGCCUGGGGAGUACGACCGCAAGGUUGAAACUCAAAGGAAUUGACGGGGGCCCGCACAAGCGGUGGAGCAUGUGGUUUAAUUCGACGCAACGCGAAGAACCUUACCAGAUCUUGACAUCCUGCGAACUUGCUAGAGAUAGCUUGGUGCCUUCGGGAACGCAGAGACAGGUGCUGCAUGGCUGUCGUCAGCUCGUGCCG
rnacentral:rRNA from 1 species